UACGGAGGGGGCCAGCGUUGUUCGGAAUUACUGGGCGUAAAGGGCGCGUAGGCUGCUGCGCAAGUCGAACGUGAAAUCCCUCAGCUCAACUGAGGAAUUGCGUCCGAAACUGCGUGGCUCGAGUCCCGGAGAGGGUAGCGGAAUUCCCAGUGUAGCGGUGAAAUGCGUAGAUAUUGGGAGGAACACCAGUGGCGAAGGCGGCUACCUGGACGGGUACUGACGCUGAGGCGCGAAAGCUAGGGGAGCAAACAGGAUUAGAUACCCUGGUAGUCCUAGCUGUAAACGAUGGGCACUUGGUGUUGCGGGUAUCGACCCCUGCAGUGCCGAAGCUAACGCAUUAAGUGCCCCGCCUGGGGAGUACGGUCGCAAGGCUGAA
rnacentral:rRNA from 1 species